rnacentral:lncRNA from 1 species
GCGGCAGCAGGGUUGGGCUCUCGCCGUGAGUCGACGAAGGGAGCGCGGGCGCGCGCCCGCGUCCGCGCACUGAGAGUCGCCUCGGCCGCUCGCUUUCUCGACUCCCGCCUCGCGCCUCGAUCCUGUUCCGCCUCCCUCGGCCCUCCUGCCCGCCCCCACUCGUCGGCCCUCAGCUCAGAGACCUAAUAGGAUGGGGUCUUAGAGAAACAUCUUUUGAGCCACAGACUUCUUUGUUACCAGAAGGAAAAUGAAAGAAGAAAUUUAAAUACCACUUGAAGAGAGGUGAGAACCCUUUGUUAAGCUGUGUAACCUCUGUGCAUAGUUUCCUCAUCAGCAAAGUCAGAAAAAGUAUGUACCUGAAGGACUGAUUGUAAGGCUGGGAUGAGAGAAUCCAUGUGAUCAGCCCUCACCAACAGGUGCUGCCCAGUUCAUGAGUGCUGCUGCUGUCCUGCCCAAGUACCCAGCUUGCAGAGUGCCAGAGUUAGAGUCCCAGGGGUGUUCUCCACAGCUGCAUGCUUGAUCCAGGCCUAUCAGAUAUAUUCCAUUGAAAGUCCUCAUUCUCAAAUUUAAAACAAAGACUUUUUGUGUACCUCAAUAGCAAUGCACACACAGUUGGCUUCACAAACAUAUUGUACAUUUCUUUUUUUCAUAUUUAUUCAACAAAUGUAUAUUGACUACCCACCGUGUGACAGGUGUUAUUUGUUGACGGAACCAGGCAUCAUCAGCAAACAAAACUGACAAAGCUUCCUGCCCUCUGUGGAAGGCAUCUGAGGAAGAGACUGGAUUUUGUAGCAACAUGUUAUUCUCAUUAUAAACUUUAUCAUUGGAAUACUAAAGCCAAAUCAUCCCCCAUCUCCUUGAUCAGGAUACCCACUUAAUCUAGGCAGCUACACAAUUGUGAGAGCCUUUGUUUUUUUCUGCUGAAACAUCCUUAAAAAGAUACCUCACAACCCAAGAUUUGGCUUUUCUUAAAUACGAUUUUUAAUUUUUUUCAUUUCUAUCUAGAGAUUUAAUUGGAAAUGGAAAAUCAUCAAUUUUCCAAUUAAAUGUCUGUUCCAAUCAACAUUAUACCUUUUAGGUUGUCAUUGUCAUUUUUAAGUUUAAGCAACUUUAAGGAUUUUGAAUCUGGCUGCCUGUAAAUUAAAGGUGAAAGUAAUC